rnacentral:rRNA from 1 species
AUUGAACGCUGGCGGCAGGCUUAACACAUGCAAGUCGAACGAUGAAGAUAUAGCUUGCUAUAUCGGAUUAGUGGCGGACGGGUGAGUAACACUUAGGAAUCUACCUUUUAGCGGGGGAUAGCUCGGGGAAACUCGAAUUAAUACCGCAUAAUUUCUACGGAAUAAAGAGGGCUUUUAGCUCUCACUAGAAGAUGAGCCUAAGUAAGAUUAGCUAGUUGGUGGGGUAAAAGCCUACCAAGGCGACGAUCUUUAGCUGGUCUGAGAGGAUGAUCAGCCACACUGGGACUGAGACACGGCCCAGACUCCUACGGGAGGCAGCAGUGGGGAAUAUUGGACAAUGGGGGCAACCCUGAUCCAGCCAUGCCGCGUGUGUGAAGAAGGCCUUUUGGUUGUAAAGCACUUUAAGCAGUGAAGAAGACCUAUUGGUUAACACCCAAUAGCGAUGACAUUAACUGCAGAAUAAGCACCGGCUAACUCUGUGCCAGCAGCCGCGGUAAUACAGAGGGUGCAAGCGUUAAUCGGAAUUACUGGGCGUAAAGCGAGCGUAGGUGGUUAAAUAAGUCAGAUGUGAAAGCCCUGGGCUCAACCUAGGAGCGGCAUCUGAAACUAUUUAACUAGAGUAGGUGAGAGGGAAGUAGAAUUUCAGGUGUAGCGGUGAAAUGCGUAGAGGUCUGAAGGAAUACCGAUGGCGAAGGCAGCUUCCUGGCAUCAUACUGACACUGAGGCUCGAAAGCGUGGGUAGCAAACAGG